CCCCCUCCCCCCGGUUUGACACCCCCUCCCGCCCCGCUCCGCCCUCCUCCCCGCCCCGCCGGUUGUCCCUCCGUAAACGGAAGCCGAGGAGGGACGAAGGAGCCGGGGAGGAGGUUGGAGCAGCGCGAUGGGGGACUCCAAAGUGAAGGUGGCGGUGCGCGUCCGCCCCACGAACCGGCGAGCGGCCGAGAGUCAUGAAUGCCUCACAACUGGUGACUGCAGAGCUAGAAAAUGGAAUGACAACAGCUCAGCAGCCGCUUUAGAGACAGCCAGCGUGGCUUCGCCGAGGGCAAAUCGUGCCCGACUAAUCCAGCGGCCUUCCAUGAUGGAGUGACGGCAUUAGAGGACGAGGGAAGAGCUACGGAUGUCACCUGCCUGGAGGACGUCAGUGAGGCACGGACAGUUUUGCAGGCAUCCAUGAGUGAAGGACCAGAGUACCUCAAUCUGUCCCUUCAACAAUCCUUCCCCGCUCCAUGUUUUCAAUUGGAAACCGCACCAGUGAGCUCCUAAAUCCAGGCGGCGCCUCUGCAGAAGUGGAGCAAAACCAACAUGAUUCAGCAGAUGAAGCUGUAAAAUAUUCCAACCUUUGAAGUCAAGGCAGUUCAGCCCUGACCAUUCAUGUAUCUCAGAAGUACUAGGAGAUAAACGCGGGAAACAUUACACAGCUCGACUGAAAAGCAAGAUAAACCUGAAGGCAAACUUAUCGUACCAGAAUAAAACUCUUUACUCCUGGGACUGGCCAAAACAACAAUCUAUGAAAAAUGCAAAACAGCAACAGGUCUUGUUUUUAAACUGUUUCGCAAAAUAUUUUUGUGCUGAGAACCUGAUCACUGAAGAUGCUAAAGUGCUGCUGGCUGCCCUGAAUGCCUCCCAGUCUCUGACUGGGACUGUCCCAGUUGGUGCUCAGCUUCUUGCAGAAGUGGACCCCUUAAGAGUUUGCAUACAACUAACUAAACACUAGAGGCAGGGGCUCGCAUAAAGGAAAUGUCCAGAGGCAAGACUGCAGAGCCAUGAGAAGUCAUCGCCUUCCCAGAGCCCCGAUAAAACCCGACGUUGAAGCUGAGGAUGGUUCUUUGGCCUCCGAGGAUGUCUCCGUCUUCAGAGAAGUUUGCAGAACGUAGCAACGAUCACGUGCGAAUCUGGUUUCUCUUUGGCAAUUAGAAUGGAAGAAAGGUUGAAAGGGUGACUCAACAGAAAAAACAUCACCCUCCACUUGCGGCUCAUCAUGCCCAGCUGUAAAGCGGGGAUUAUAUUUACCUCCAUUGCAAAGUACUCGGUUUCAGAAGACGUUGGUGCGGUUUGCUGAGGCCCCGGCUGGAAAUACCACAAGAAGUUCAAAGCCCGGUUUCAUCCUGUAAUUGGAUCCUCAAGUCCACAAGUGCAAGAACCAACUGUGCGGGCUGACAGCAGGUC